rnacentral:rRNA from 1 species
AUUGAACGCUGGCGGCAUGCCUUACACAUGCAAGUCGAACGGUAACGGGCCUUCGGGUGCCGACGAGUGGCGCACGGGUGAGUAAUACAUCGGAACGUGCCCGAUCGUGGGGGAUAACGAGGCGAAAGCUUUGCUAAUACCGCAUACGAUCUACGGAUGAAAGCAGGGGACCGCAAGGCCUUGCGCGGACGGAGCGGCCGAUGGCAGAUUAGGUAGUUGGUGGGAUAAAAGCUUACCAAGCCGACGAUCUGUAGCUGGUCUGAGAGGAUGAUCAGCCACACUGGGACUGAGACACGGCCCAGACUCCUACGGGAGGCAGCAGUGGGGAAUUUUGGACAAUGGGCGCAAGCCUGAUCCAGCCAUGCCGCGUGCAGGAUGAAGGCCUUCGGGUUGUAAACUGCUUUUGUACGGAACGAAAAGCCUUCUUUUAAUACAGGAGGGUCAUGACGGUACCGUAAUAAUAAGCACCGGCUAACUACGUG